AAGACUACAUGAAUGUUACACAUUUCUUUUGAUUGGCAGAUCCAAGGGCUGUGUGGCUGCAGCUAAGGCUUUUCCUGGAACUGGGACUAUGUGCAGCCUAAAGUUGUUUCUAAUGGAGGACUUAAUUUCAGGCUCCUCACUAACACUAGCCAAGGAUAUUGACAUGUCCUUCUCUUCCUGAUAUGUGUAUACCAAGUACUCACAGAAGAGAAUUCCUUCUACUUUUCUUCAUCAGACAUUGUGAGGAAUUGUGCCAUAACUCUGGCAUCUCUCUGCUGAACUUGGUUCCAUUUGCCAAUGAUGUUGUUCAAACAUGGUGUCCAGAACUGAAUGUUGUAUUCUGCAGGAGACCUUGAGGUCACCAUAGGCAAAGGAGAUGUGAAAGAAGAGACAUAAUUAAUGCCAGCAGAAGAGAGAGAUGAUGACCCAGCAUAAGCUGAUUGAGACUAGGUUGUACGGUCGUUUUCCUUAUGGAUUCCAUGCUUGGGAGUGAAGAGUAAAGGAGAGCCUUCCUCUAA